rnacentral:rRNA from 1 species
AUACGUAGGUGGCAAGCGUUGUCCGGAAUUACUGGGUGUAAAGGGAGCGCAGGCGGGGAGGCAAGGUGGAUGUGAAAUACCGCAGCUUAACUGCGGAGCUGCAUCCCAAACUGUAUUUCUUGAGGGCAGUAGAGGUAGGCGGAAUUUCUAGGGUAGCGGUGGAAUGCGUAGAUAUUAGGAGGAACACCAGUGGCGAAGGCGGCCUACUGGGCUUUAACUGACGCUGAGGCUCGAAAGUGUGGGGAGCAAACAGGAUUAGAUACCCUGGUAGUCCACACUGUAAACGAUGAUUGCUAGGUGUGGGGGGACUGACCCCUUCCGUGCCGGAGUAAACACAAUAAGCAAUCCACCUGGGGAGUACGACCGCAAGGUUGAAACUCAAAGGAAUUGACGGGG